UCAGGAUGAACGCUGGCGGCGUGCCUAACACAUGCAAGUCGAACGGAGUAAUUAAGCGGAAGUUUCGGAUGGAAGCAUAGUACUUAGUGGCGGACGGGUGAGUAACGCGUGGGCAACCUGCCCUGUACCGGGGGAUAACACUUAGAAAUAGGUGCUAAUACCGCAUAAGCGCACAGCUUCGCAUGAAGGUGUGUGAAAAACUCCGGUGGUACAGGAUGGACCCGCGUCUGAUUAGCUAGUUGGUGGGGUAGAGGCCUACCAAGGCGACGAUCAGUAGCCGGCCUGAGAGGGUGACCGGCCACAUUGGGACUGAGACACGGCCCAAACUCCUACGGGAGGCAGCAGUGGGGAAUAUUGCACAAUGGGGGAAACCCUGAUGCAGCGACGCCGCGUGAGUGAAGAAGUAUUUCGGUAUGUAAAGCUCUAUCAGCAGGGAAGAAAAUGACGGUACCUGACUAAGAAGCCCCGGCUAACUACGUGCCAGCCGCCGC
rnacentral:rRNA from 1 species